CAGUCGCCGCGGGAAUACAGAGGGUGCGAGCGUUAAUCGGAAUUACUGGGCGUAAAGCGUGCGUAGGUGGUGGUUUAAGUCCGUUGUGAAAGCCCUGGGCUCAACCUGGGAAUUGCAGUGGAUACUGGGUCACUAGAGUGUGGUAGAGGAUAGUGGAAUUUCCGGUGUAGCAGUGAAAUGCGUAGAGAUCGGAAGGAACAUCUGUGGCGAAGGCGACUAUCUGGGCCAACACUGACACUGAGGCACGAAAGCGUGGGGAGCAAACAGGAUUAGAUACCCCCGUAGUCCCUGUCUCUUAUAC
rnacentral:rRNA from 1 species